UACCCAACAGCUAGCCCAACCCCCUAAAAACAACCCAAAACUAUUUAUACCCCCUAAUAAACUAAAAUAAGUUAAACAAACCAUUUUUCCUCCAAAGUA
rnacentral:rRNA from 1 species